AUGUGCUUCAGAAGGAACUUCAUGCGCCGCCAUGAUGACCUGGCCGCCGCUAAUGAGUCCAUCACUACUCUUAGCCCCGCCUUGACCACCGCCAAGGCCGUGAGUGCAGCUGCCACCCCCGCUGCCGCUAAUCAGUCCAAUCCAAGCUGGUCCCCCCCCACCCCUCGACCACCCGAAUCGCCGGCUAAUUCUAGGUUCACCUUUCCCGACAAGGAGCCACCCGCCCUUUCGUCGCUGGAGCCUUCCAUGUCGGCUAGGUUCGUGUACAACCCGGUGGAGGGGCAACACCCGCUCGCGCAAGACGAGGUACCUCAUCAAGGAUAUGUUCUUACCUAUGGGAUUUGGCGCUGGUGCUCAUGGUGGCGGGUACGAGGUCGUCUCUAA
rnacentral:rRNA from 1 species